GUUAUGAGAUCAUUGGUUAUCCAGAAGGAUGGGUCCACAAAGGGCGAAAAAAGGAUUCUACCAGAGCCUCAUUUGCAUCCGCUCAGUCAUCCGAGGAGACUGCAUCAGAACCUCCAUCAGGUACAUAUGGCUCCAAGGCCUUGGCCACCUCAGGAUCUUCUCACCAGGACCGUGAUUGGAUGUGGUACUAGGAGGGGAAAGUUGUAUUAUCUGGACUUGACAGAAGACAGCAGUACAAGAUUGAGUCAGACACAUCAUGUGAGAGGAGAUGAGUCUAUCAGGAUGAAGAAAAUUUGGCUAUGGCAUAGACGAUUAGGUCAUGCUUCUUUUGGUUAUCUGAAACUUUUAUUUCCAGAUUUGUUUUCCCAGUUUGCUGAAUCAGACUUUCAUUGUGAAACUUGCAUUUUGGCCAAAAGCCAUCGUAUUUCUUACCCAUUAAGAUUGAAUAAAAGUUCUUUGCCUUUCAUGAUUGUCCA